rnacentral:rRNA from 1 species
UGCGGUUAAACAAAAUUUAAUUUAAAUUUUUUUAAAAAAUUAAUUAAAAUUGAAAUUAAAAAAAAAUUAAAUUUUUAAGUGAAAUUUUAAUUUAAUUGAAAUUUAAAAAUAAUUUUGAAAUAAUAAAUUUAAUUAAAAACUAGGAUUAGAUACCCUAUUAUAUAAAAUUUAAAUUAAAAAUAUUAAAAUAGUAAAUAAAUAUUAUUGAAAUUUAAAUAUUUUGGCGGUAUUUUAGUUUAUUUAGAGGAAUUUGUUUAUUAAUUGAUAAUCCACGAAUGAAUUUACUUAAUUUAAUAUUUUGUAUAUCGUUGUUAUAAAAAUAUUUUUAUUAAAUUAUAAUAUUUUAAAAUUUAAAUAUAAAUUUAAAUCAAAUCAAGAUGCAGAUUAUAAUUAAGAAUGUAAUGAAUUACAAUAAAUUUAUUUAAAUAGAUAUUAAUAUGAAAAUUUAAUUGAAAAUGGAUUUAAAUGUAAUUUAAUUUAAUUUAAUUAAAUGAUUAAAGAUUAAAAUAUGUACAUAUUGCCCGUCGCUUUCAUAAAUAAAUUGAAAUAAGUCGUAACAAAGUAGAGGUACUGGAAAGUGUUUCUAGGAAGAA